CUACGGGUGGCACCAGUGGGGAAUUUUGCGCAAUGGGCGAAAGCCUGACGCAGCAACGCCGCGUGAGCGAUGAAGGUUUUCGGAUCGCAAAGCUCUGUCAGGUGGGAAGAAGAACAUGACGGUACUAUCAGAGGAAGCCCCGGCUAACUCCGUGCCAGCAGCCGCGGUAAUACGGAGGGGGCGAGCGUUGUUCGGAAUUAUUGGGCGUAAAGCGUAUGUAGGUGGUUUGACAAGUCAGACGUGUAAGCCCACGGCUCAACCGUGGAAUUGCGUUUGAAACUAUCUAACUUGAGUGCAGAAGAGGAAAGCGGAAUUUCCAGUGUAGCGGUGAAAUGCGUUGAUAUUGGGAAGAACACCUGUGGCGAAGGCGGCUUUCUGGUCUGCUACUGACACUGAGAUACGAAAGCCAGGGGAGCAAACGGGAUUAGAUACCCCAGUAGUC
rnacentral:rRNA from 1 species